rnacentral:rRNA from 1 species
CACGUAGGGGGCAAGCGUUGUCCGGAUUUAUUGGGCGUAAAGAGCUCGUAGGCGGUUCGGUAAGUCGGGUGUGAAACCUCCAGGCUCAACUGGGGAGGGUCACUCGAUACUGAUCGACUCGAAGGCAGAAGAGGGAAGCGGAAUUCCCGGUGUAGUGGUGAAAUGCGUAGAUAUCAUGAGGAAUACCAGAGGCGAAGGCGGACUACCUGGACAAUUGCUGACGCUCAGGCACGAAAGCGUGGG